UCCCCUUAGCAUUGGGCAAAGAGACACUUCAUUGGUGGUGGUGUCUUCUAUUAGUCAGGAGCAAAACAGAUACAGUCUUUUGUUCAUCCUAGCUUGAUGCCUGGAUCAGAGGCCACAACUGUUUCAUUCCUGAGGCACAUUU
rnacentral:snoRNA from 1 species